GUGCAUUAUAGAAAAUGCAGCAGAGACAUCUCAAGAAGCCUGGAGGGUGGGGCAGCACACACCAACCAGGCCUCGGUGCAUCAGUGUAGAAGCUGCAGCACAGACAUGGACAGAGGAGUGGCUGAGCUGCCAGGCUGGAGCUGUAAAGGGUCAUCACCUCCAGCAGCGCCUGAAGCUCCCUGGGCAGCCACGACGUAUCCAGCUUCAGGUUCUCCACUCGGAUCAGGCACAGGGUCUUCAAGCUGGGCUCUGGGAAACAAAUAGAAGGGACCAUUAAGAAACAUGAUCCCUGUUGCUAAUGGGUUAAACAGCAAGGGACGACACUCGAGGAAAAAAAAAUAUAGAUGACAAGCCAGAAGAGAGGUCAAUGGAGGAGACUCACCGAAGUCCAGGACAUGGAGGUCAUUGUGG